CAGAACACUCAAAGAUAACGCAUAGAUGGGA
rnacentral:piRNA from 1 species